rnacentral:rRNA from 1 species
GACGAACCGUGCGAACGUUGUUCGGAAUCACUGGGCUUAAAGGGCGCGUAGGCGGAUGACCAAGUCAGGGGUGAAAGCCCGCAGCUCAACUGCGGAAGUGCCUUUGAUACUGGUUGUCUCGAGGGAGAUAGGGGCAUGUGGAACUUCCGGUGGAGCGGUGAAAUGCGUAGAUAUCGGAAGGAACGCCGGUGGCGAAAGCGACGUGCUGGAUCUCUUCUGACGCUGAGGCGCGAAAGCUAGGGGAGCAAACGGG